UACCGCGUGCGGGACGAAGGCUUUUGGGUCGUAAACCGCUUUUGUUAGGGAAGAAUAACUGACGGUACCUAACGAAUCAGCAUCGGCUAACUCCGUGCCAGCAGCCGCGGUAAUACGGGGGAUGCAAGCGUUAUCCGGAAUUAUUGGGCGUAAAGCGUCCGCAGGUGGUUUAUCAAGUCUGCUGUCAAAGCGUGGGGCUUAACCCCAUAAAGGCAGUGGAAACUGAGAGACUAGAGUACGGUAGGGGUAGCGGGAAUUCCCAGUGUAGCGGUGAAAUGC
rnacentral:rRNA from 1 species